GAUGAACGCUGGCGGCGUGCCUAAUACAUGCAAGUCGAGCGAACGGACGCGACGCUUGCUUCUCUGAUGUUAGCGGAGGGCGGGUGAGUAACACGUGGAUAACCUACCUAUAAGACUGGGAUAACUUCGGGAAACCGUAGCUAAUACCGGAUAAUAUUUUGAACCGCAUGGUUCAAAAGUGAAAGACGGUCUUGCUGUCACUUCUAGAUGGAUCCGCGCUGCAUUAGCUAGUUGGUAAGGUAACGGCUUACCAAGGCAACGAUGCAUAGCCGACCUGAGAGGGUGGUCGGCCGCCUGAGAACUGGGACACGGACCAGACUCCUACGGGAGGCAGCAGUAGGGAAUCUUCCGCAGUGGGCGAAAGCCUGACGGAGCAACGCCACGUGAGUGAUGAAGGUCUUCGGAUCGUGAAACUCUGUUAUGAGGGAAGAACAUAUGUGUAAGGAACUGUGCACAUCGUGACGGUACCGAAUCAGAAAGCCACGGCUAACUACGUG
rnacentral:rRNA from 1 species